rnacentral:rRNA from 1 species
AUUGAACGCUGGCGGAAUGCUUUACACAUGCAAGUCGAACGGCAGCACGGGGGCAACCCUGGUGGCGAGUGGCGAACGGGUGAGUAAUGUAUCGGAACGUACCCAGUCGUGGGGGAUAACUAUCCGAAAGGAUAGCUAAUACCGCAUACGUCCUGAGGGAGAAAGCGGGGGACCUGCAAGGGCCUCGCGCGAUUGGAGCGGCCGAUAUCGGAUUAGCUAGUUGGUGAGGUAAAGGCUCACCAAGGCGACGAUCCGUAGCGGGUCUGAGAGGACGACCCGCCACACUGGAACUGAGACACGGUCCAGACUCCUACGGGAGGCAGCAGUGGGGAAUUUUGGACAAUGGGGGAAACCCUGAUCCAGCCAUUCCGCGUGAGUGAAGAAGGCCUUCGGGUUGUAAAGCUCUUUCAGCAGGAACGAAACGGUCGGCUUUAAUAAAGUCGGCUAAUGACGGUACCUGCAGAAGAAGCACCGGCUAACUACGUGCCAGCCGCCGCCGUAA